CCACGGAGAAGGAGUGCUUUUCACGUACGCGGCUUCUUCUCGAGCAGAAAUGCCUCAUCGAUGUGCUGCUGUAGGCUGUACGAACUCUAGCAAGAAAGCACCGAAGAAACGUUUCUUCAGAUUCCCUGCGGGCAAUCUUCACGCAGCAAAAAGGAAGAAAUGGGUGCAAGCGAUGCGACGUGUAAACGAAGACGGAUCUCCAUGGGAGCCGACAGCCAACUCACGCGUAUGCAGCGACCACUUCGUCACAGGGGCGCCGUCGCGCGUUAUUCACCAUCCGGAUUAUGUGCCGUCGGUCUUUAAACACAAGUGUUCGACCAGCACUGGAGCACUGGAACGCUUUGAAAGAUUAAGAAAGAGGCAAGGUCAUGCCAAGGCUCAGCGGACAAGCCAUGUUUCAAGCACCAAAGCACCUGGCGUACAACACUCGCAGCAUGCU